CGCUGCCUUCCUGUCAGUCACACAGCCUGGGUGUUUCCGCUGGCUGGGCACAUGAGGACUUGGGUGAGGAGCCCAGGUGACCAUGGCAGGAAGGCACCCGGGCUGCCGCAGAGCGUGAGGGGCCUCCUCCUCCUCAAGGACAGCUGUGCCGCGGGGGGCCGCACGGGCAGCCUCACUUCGCCAUGGAGACAGGCUUGGGACAUCUGAGCAGGAGUCGGGUCUGCAGGGGCUGUGGCUCUGUGUGACGGGGGCCCAGCACAGCCCCUUGGUGCAGGGACUGGAAGUGCACCUGAGACCCCCGGGGGCAGUGCCCCCAGCUGCCAUCCCCUUGGUGCCCUGGGCUGAGUGAGGGUAACGCUCAGCCUCUGUGGCCGCAGGACGACGCCCCCAGCAGGCGGGGUCCUCAGGGAGACGGAGAUCCUGGUGGUCUCGGGAGGGGGUGAGGGGUUUCUCAGGGUUUUGGGACAGGGAAGUGUUCUUUAUUCAAUUUCCUCUCUACUUGCAAAAUGUCUUUGUAAGGGGAAAUAAGCACCUCGGUAUUUGUCCGCAGGCUGAAGGGGCUUUUUCAUCCCGAAUGAGUGUCAGCUUACCGAGCUCCCGGCCCUCUGGUGGCAGGACUGGUCAAGCCACCACUGCAGUGGUCACUUAAUGUCACCCAACACUGGGGACAGGUGUGUCAGGUGUAUGGAUGGACAGAACCCCUGCCCAGCCUGGAGGGUGGCCGGCACCCCCAGCCCGAAGGCCCUUCUGACUCUGUCCUGGAUCUGCCACUCCAGGGGGACCAGCACUGGACCCUGCGUGUAGAGGCCGGGAGAGGACAGCCUGCAGCUCAGACACACGUGUGGGGAUGGGCUGUGUUGGGCUGCUGCUUGUGUGAUCCAUGUGCUGCCUUACAGUGCACUUACAAAGCAGGCCAUCAUGCACAGCUGAGUGGAAUAAGACAGAAAUAAGGACAGACAGGCCGACCUCUCGUCUCCACCCGCUCAUCCAUCAGAAGGCCCCAGUGAAAGGUCAGCGUCUCAGCACAAGUGGCCUUCGGGUCCCUGAGAAGCAACCAGGCAGCUGUCACCAUAACCCACAGGUCAGAAGUCUCUACAGCAAAGCUAGAGGGAGCCGACAACGCUGGGCCCCGCCGUGCGGGCUCCGCACCACAGCCAGCGGCCUUCACCUCCACCAAGAGGAGAGCCGCUGGGCCACUCAGGCUCUCCCUGACUCCGUUCAGAUUCUGCCUCGGGCCCCUUGGGCUCUCACCAUAGGUCUGCUGCAGGGAACACAGGGCAGAAGCCUCCUGCCUGCCACGAGGGUAACUGGGCGACAGCGCCCAGGGCCCAUCCUCUUGUGCCCGCCUUUCGUCCCCCCGUGGUGGGCCCUGACUGUCUCAGGUUGGCUUUUCAAUUUUUCUCUGACUUGAAAUAGUUAUAUAUUUUGAAUACAAGUUAUUUGUUGGAUCUAAGCAGAGCUAAUACCUUAGCCACUUUCUUCACGGUGCAUGUGGAUGGACAGAGGGUUCUAGUUUUAUGAUAUCUCAAUUUUAUUUAAAAAACCUUUCUAUGAUGAACGCUAUUUGCUGAUUCUGUUCUGCCUUCUACACAGUUUGCUGUUGCAGCUUUUACAGCUGCACCGGAAGGCAGCUCUGUUCUCAUCUCUGGUCCUGGUAGAUAAUAAACCUCUUCUCUUUGCCUGCUUUUCAGUUCUUUAUGAAUUUCACCGACGUACUUAUGUUGUACCAAUUAUUUUCAUUUGUAUAUUUCCUUGGUAGUGGCUGAAUUAUUGGAUCCAUGGGUUUACAGAUUGUGGAAAAUAUUUUGCCAUUUCACUGUAAAUAUUUUCUUCUGUACUAUCGUCUUUUUUCUGAGAUUUCAACUCCAUGUAUGUGGGGCUGGUUGAUACUCUCUCAUGAACCAGAGAUGUGCUGUUCUGUGCUUUAUCUUUAAAACCCCCCCAUGAUUUAUUUUGGGUAGUUUUUAUUGUCAUAUUUUCAGUAUAAAAAAGAAUGAUCUUUUUUCCUGCAGUGUCUGUCUUUUUUCCUGUUUGCUGGGAAGAUCAUGCACUAUAUCUUUCCUGCUGGAUGUGUCUUCUCAUUUCUCGAUAUGAUCAUCCUCUCCUGCGUGCCUGGUCAUUUUUGAUGGGACAUUAUGCUGCUGAUGCUGGAUUUUGUAGUAUUCCUUUGAUAAAUAUUGGGCUUUGUUCUUCCAAAAUUACUUUAAUUUUGAGAUUUGCUUUGAGGCAUUUCUGGGGCCUGGGGCAGAACAAUAGGAAAUUCAGCCCUUCUCCUACAGCACUUCCUUUCAAGAACUCUUCAGGGUCCUGUGUGUCCCAAGGUCUCUUCUCCAACUGGUGGAACACACACAUCCCAAGCCUGUGUCAGUCCAAGGCAUGUCCAGCCUCAGGCAUCCAGUGGUCACGUGCCCUGCCUCAUGUGGGUUCUUCUCUUGUGUGUACAGAUGGUGACCUCUGGGCUCAUGCUCUGGGCUAUGACCUCCUCUCCACUAUUUUGCUCUGCUGAUCCUGGCUGCCACAGCCUCCCUGAACUCUAAUCUGAGUCUCAACUCAGCAACUCUGGUAGGCUGUGUAGAGCACCCUCCCUACACCUGUCUAACUCUAACACCCCAUCUCACCAAUGAGGCCCCCGAAGCCUCAUGUGAUCAUGGGGGGUUGGCUUUUUGGAGGUGGCUGAAUCUAGAGUUUGUGAUUGGUUCAUGGUCUAAUGCUGAAAUUAAAGGUGUGAAUGCUAUACCUGCCCUAGGUGGGUAGUUUACAUAUACUAGAAGGGAGGGAAAGAGGCUGCUCUCUUCCUCUCUCCUCUUUGUUGCUUUGCUGUCUUCUGCCACCAUGAACUGUUGCCCUCUGCCAUGUGCUACUCUUCCUUGGAGCCAGUGGAUUAUGGACUGAAACCUCCACAAACUGUGAGCUAA
ensembl:lincRNA uncharacterized LOC102029223